UACGUAGGGGGCAAGCGUUGUCCGGAAUCAUUGGGCGUAAAGCGCGCGUAGGCGGCCCGGUACGUCCGCUCUGAAAGUCCAGGGCUCAACCCUGGAAAGCGGGUGGAUACUGCCGGGCUAGAAUCCGGAAGAGGCGAGUGGAAUUCCUGGUGUAGCGGUGGAAUGCGCAGAUAUCAGGAGGAACACCAAUAGCGAAGGCAGCUCGCUGGGACGGUAUUGACGCUAAGGCGCGAAAGCGUGGGGAGCAAACAGG
rnacentral:rRNA from 1 species